GAUGAACGCUGGCGGCGUGCCUAAUACAUGCAAGUCGAGCGAACGGACGAGAAGCUCGCUUUUCUGAUGUUAGCGGCGGACGGGUGAGUAACACGUGGAUAACCUACAUAUAAGACUGGGAUAACUUCGGGAAACCGGAGCUAAUACCGGAUAAUAUUUUGAACCGCAUGGUUCAAAAGUGAAAGACGGUCUUGCUGUCACUUAUAGAUGGAUCCGCGCUGCAUUAGCUAGUUGGUAAGGUAACGGCUUACCAAGGCAACGAUGCAUAGCCGACCUGAGAGGGUGAUCGGCCACACUGGAACUGAGACACGGUCCAGACUCCUACGGGAGGCAGCAGUAGGGAAUAUUCCACAAUGGGCGAAAGCCUGACGGAGCAACGCCGCGUGAGUGAUGAAGGUCUUCGGAUCGUAAAACUCUGUUAUUAGGGAAGAACAGAUGUGUAAGUAACUGUGCACAUCUUGACGGUACCUAAUCAGAAAGCCACGGCUAACUACGUG
rnacentral:rRNA from 1 species